UCUAGCAUUAUUUUUUCAAAACCACCAAAUGCCCAAGUUGGAUCUUUGGGCCUGUAGCCAAGAGAGGGAGGACAAGAGGAAGUGGUUCAAUUUUUGUCUUCACCUCAGGACCCUCCCCCUCUUUACAGGAGCCCAGCCCAGUGGGGAUGCAGUUCCCUUCCAGCUGCCAAAGUCACUGGUCCCCAAGAGCUUGAGGGGGCAAAGGCCUUGGACACCGAGCUCUGGGUUACCAGAGACACCCCCCCCAGGUGGUCUCUGCUCAUGGGUCCUGUUGAGGGUAGGCUUGGUGGUCCCUGGGAGCCCGGCCAGGAGCAGGUGUGCUGGAAGGCUUCCUGGGUCCAGCUCUUCCUAUAGUGGGGAUGGCCACACACCUGUGAGGCCCAGGAGGCGGUGGUACACAGGGUUUCCUGUGCGGACCCAGCCCUGUCCUUUGCUAAGCCGCACCGCCACCCUGGUGCUGCUGCUCCCGGUGGGCCCCGGGGAAAGGAAGCCGGCCUGAGAUUCCCACAUCAGGCCGGCAUUUCCGCUCUUCUCCUCCUGGGUGAGAGUGUGUCUUUCUGCUGCACCCCAGACAGCCUGGGGGUGAGCACUCACUGGGGGCUGGACCGUGAGCAGCGCGAGAAGUAGGAGCUGGUGGCGCGUGUGCAGUGCCGGCUGGUGCGCGCGAGGAGGAGGUGAUGGUUCCCUUCUCCGUGACCAUAUACAACGAGGACGACUUGCCGCCCACCCUCCCCAAGGCAAGGAAACCGCUAGCGUCAUGGUGGAGUUCAAAUGGAAAGAGACGUGGCUGAGGAGGCUGGAUUCCCCGUCCUGUGCCAUCAGCAAGCAGCAUGAAUGUAAGAAGUGUGGCAGCCUGGGCUCUCCAAUUGGCCAGUAUGAACAGACAGGGUGAUGGCAAAGGAAUCACCAAGAACUUCUCCACCUGUUCCUUGAUGACCGAGACCUGCCCUUAUAGGCACUGUGAUGCCGUGGAGAAGAGGGCCAUGCACAUCUGUCCCCAAGACUGCCUCCAAAAGCCCUGCUUCAGCCAGGGUUAGUGCCAUGGGGAGCUCCCCAUGCCCCUCACCCUCUUCCAAGUUGGUCUCCAACCUCUGUAUUAUAUGUUGACUUCUUCCUAAGAUUCCAGUGUGAAUAAAAGUUUUUCCCCACCCUCUCAUCAGUGCACUGUCCUGGCACCAAAUGGGGUGCUGCUCUCCCACCCUGCAGGCAUGCCUUCUCUCCCUGCUACCCCUUCUUGAAUUCUGGAAAGUACUUGUUCCCGGUGUUUUCUGGGACCCCAGAAGGCCACAUGUGUCCU